ensembl:lncRNA
GGAACAUUUUAGAUCAUUAUUUUCUAAAUGUGGUAUCUUAUUAUUUACGUGUUUUUUUGGCUUUUUUUUUUGGCUUUUUUUUUGGGCUUUUUUCCCCUCCAUCAUUUGACAAACUGCUAUGAUACAGAAAAUCAAUAAUGUUAUAUAUUUUUUAAUUAAAUUCAGGAAUAAUAAAAAGGUAUGACCUAACACUAAAUGGACUAAUAAACACUAACCACACCCAAGAAAGAAAUUCUUAACCAGGAAACAAAGCAAAACAAUAAUUUAGGUUGUAAUACCCGCUAAGUUAAAAAAAAAAAAAAUGUUUCUUCAGCACACACACUUCAUUAAUUUUUUUACAUAGAAAAACAUAGAAAAAGAUUCAUAGCUGGUAUCAUGGGAAACGCUAGCAUCGAAAAAAAAUUGCUGUUCUCACCUGCUACCCACACACACACAUCCGUGCUAAGAUAUGCUAGCAAACACGGAUGUGUGUGCUCAUACACUCUAAUCAAAAACCCACCCAGAAACACGUGAACAUGAAUGGUAAUGUCCUCUCUGUCGCUAUCGCUCACUUUCUAUUCCAGUCACACUCACGCUUGUACACACACUUCACUAGGCUUGGUGUGAUGGUGGCUAAUUUAGCGCUUAUGUGGUAUAGAGGUAAUAGGAUCUGUAAGCAUAGUCUCUCUCUCUAUCUCUAUCUCUGUCUCUCUGUGAUUUUCUUAAGUGUUUAACUGAUCUGGUGCCCUUUAUCAAGUAACAGCGUCUUUUCGGAAAAAGGUUGGGCUCUUUAGCCAAAUAGCUUCUUGCUAAUUAUGAGCACAUUUCAUUCUAAAGGUCACUUGCUACUUACACACAUGUAAGAAUUUAAAAGUGUACUGUGGGUGUGGUUAUGAGUCCAUCCACUUGUUUUUAUGUAACUUAAUAUGUUAAUAUAGAAAAUAUGAUGUGGUGUUCUUUAAUAAACACACGACACACAGUGGUUUAUUCCUUACAUACAACACAGCAGAUCGCAGAAACAGAAAACGAGCCAACCUGCGUGCGAUAGUACUGCGUUUUCUAAAAAUAAGCACGUUUAAUAAGCAUAAACAUUCAUACAUGUCAACUGAAAGGUUUUCACAUAAAAUUCAUUUUAAAGAAAUAUUUCAAACGAGAUGAACGGGAAUAGGGUGAAGUUUAACGCCAAGAUUUAAAAAAUAACAUCAAUACUUAGAAUUGGAUGAAUGGGAGUACCUCAAGGCUCAGCUCUAGGCACAAUCUAAAUGUCCUAUCUUUAAUAAAGUGCAAUAAAACAAUAAAAAAAAGAAUAAACCUAGAAAUGUCAUAAUGUCUAUUAUAUUGUCAAAUACAUAUUCAGCAAAAUUUAAGAGGGAAAUCAUGUAUUUAGAAUUGGAUUAAUGAAAAACCUCAAGGGUGAGCUGUAGGCCCGAUCAAGAUUAGAAAAAGGACCCAAUAUAAAUGACGUAUCAAAACGAUUCCAUAUUCAUAUUUUCUACCUCACUACAGUCCAGAGAAGCUUUUUUUUAAUGUUCUGAGGAAUGCAAACAAUGGCUCUGCUAAUUAUAUUAUAUAGCGCUUUGUUUUCUAAUGACGUUUUCGGUCCAGAACGUCAGUGUUAUGAAUUAUUCAUAUAUCCUGUGAUCUAGCGGGCAGAGAGUAAUAAAUGCACAUCCGCCCCUCUCCUUUCUGCUUCAGAAAAAUUCAAUCAAAAUGCAGGCUGAUGUAUAUAUCAGACCAUAGUUUUUGUAGGGAAACAAAAAGAAUAGUGUGUAAGUCUUAUCAAAAAGAGAAUAUUCCUUCGGUCACAAAAAAAGCCUGAAAAUCCCACAGACAUAAAUAUCCUACCAUACCAUUCCAUAGAUAUUACCACACCAUAAAUAUUCUACCACUCAGUAUCCACCUUAAGCCUUAUAUUUAUUUACAUUCAUCCAUAUAAUUAUAUAAUUUUUACAGUUUUAUAACAAGAAAGUUUACACUGUGCUAUUUUCGUUGGGACAUUCAGUGUCGCACAUAAGACUCUCGCAUGGUAAAAACAUUCUUCAGCGAUUAAUUGGUAGCUGAUUUAGUACUGUACUUUGGCAACCAAAGACAUCUGACGACAAAGUUCUGUCACCUUGAGAAAUUUUGAAUUAAAAUCUAUGUGAGUGUGAGCGCUGUUGAAAGCCAAUAGUAUGUAUAGUAUGACCAAUAGGAGGAUGGUAUGACCAAUAGGAGGAUGGUAUGAUCAAUAGGAGGCUUGGUAUGAUCAAAAGGAGGAGGUAUGACCAAUAGAGACAUGGUAUGACCAAUAGGAGGAGGUAUGACCAAUAGGAGGAUGGUAUGACCAAUAGAAGACAUGGUAUGACUAAUAGGAAGCAUGGUAUGACCAAUAGGAGACAUGGUAUGACCAAUAGGAGGAUGGUAUGACCAAUAGGAGGAUGGUAUGACCAAUAGGAGGCAUGGUAUCACCAAUAGGAGGAUGGUAUGACCAAUAGGAGGAUGGUAUGACCAAUAGGAGGCACUGUAUGACCAAUAGGGGAGG